rnacentral:tRNA from 1 species
GCCAGUAUGGUGUAAUGGUUUGAGCAUUGGACUAUGACUCUGGAGACCAGAGUUUGAAUCCCUGCUCAGCCA